rnacentral:sRNA from 1 species
CGGAAGCGGUCCGAGAAUGAAGAGUGUGAUCUACCAUGCGUUGUCUCAGAAAGAGGCGAAUGACUCCGAUGUCCAGUAGCUGCCAGGAAUGGCGGGCGGGAUGCCUGGGAUCCUGGGCUGCCCAGACCGGAGCAGUGAGCGCUGCACCCCCUUGUCCGCCUGCAGCCUUCAGGAGCACAGCGGGCCGAGGCCUUCGUGAGGGCCUUCCUGAAGCGCAGCACGCCCCGCAUGAGCCCGCAGGCCCGCGAGGACCAGCUGCAGCGCAAGGCGGUGGUCCUGGAGUACUUCACCCGCCACAAGCGCAAGGAGAAGAAGAAGAAAGCCAAAGGCCUCUCUGCCAGGCAAAGGAGGGAGCUGCGGCUCUUUGACAUUAAACCAGAGCAGCAGAGAUACAGCCUUUUCCUCCCUCUCCAUGAACUCUGGAAACAGUACAUCAGGGACCUGUGCAAUGGGCUCAAGCCAGACACGCAGCCACAGAUGAUUCAGGCCAAGCUCUUAAAGGCAGAUCUUCACGGGGCUAUUAUUUCAGUGACAAAAUCCAAAUGCCCCUCUUAUGUGGGUAUUACAGGAAUCCUUCUACAGGAAACAAAGCACAUUUUCAAAAUUAUCACCAAAGAAGACCGCCUGAAAGUUAUCCCCAAGCUAAACUGCGUGUUUACUGUGGAAACCGAUGGCUUUAUUUCCUACAUUUACGGGAGCAAAUUCCAGCUUCGGUCAAGUGAACGGUCUGCGAAGAAGUUCAAAGCGAAGGGAACGAUUGACCUGUGAAUUCUUUGCCGUCUAAGGCAGUUGUUUAUGACAGCUGAAAACUGGACACUCCCUAAAUGUCCACCUUUCAGUGAAGAG